UUCUUGAAAGAGACCAUUCAUCAUCAUAGAUCAGAAAAACUAUUAAAAGACGUUGGAAGUAAAAACAAAAAUAUGUUUUUUCUUCCCUUAAUGCAACAAAAUCUCAAAGCUCUAAACAAGUACAACUUUUGAAAAUCUAAUAUUCCAAUUUGACUAAUCAAAAAGUUCUCAAGCGACUUCCUUCUUGAGCUUAGCAAGCUCCUG
rnacentral:misc_RNA from 1 species